rnacentral:rRNA from 1 species
AGUGAACGCUGGCGGCAGGCCUAAUACAUGCAAGUCGAACGGCAGCACAGCAGAGCUUGCUCUGUGGGUGGCGAGUGGCGGACGGGUGAGGAAUACAUGGGAAUCUGCCCAGUCGUGGGGGAUAACGUAGGGAAACUUACGCUAAUACCGCAUGCGCCCUUCGGGGGAAAGCCGGGGACCUUCGGGCCUGGCGCGAUUGGAUGAGCCCAUGUCGGAUUAGCUAGUUGGUGGGGUAAAGGCCCACCAAGGCGACGAUCCGUAGCUGGUCUGAGAGGAUGAUCAGCCACACUGGAACUGAGACACGGUCCAGACUCCUACGGGAGGCAGCAGUAGGGAAUAUUGGACAAUGGGCGCAAGCCUGAUCCAGCCAUGCCGCGUGAGUGAAGAAGGCCUUCGGGUUGUAAAGCUCUUUUGUCCGGAAAGAAAAGCAUCCAGUUAAUACCUGGGUGUCCUGACGGUACUGGAAGAAUAAGCACCGGCUAACUUCGUGCCAGCCGCCGCAGUAACAC